GGGUGCGAUCAUACCAGCGUUAAUGUACCGUAUCCUAUCGAAACUUCGUAGUUAAGCGCGCUUAGGCUAGAGUAGUACUGGGAUGGGUGACCUCCUGGGAAAUUCUAGUGUUGCACCCU
rfam:Picea glauca, whole genome shotgun sequence.